UACGUAGGUGGCAAGCGUUGUCCGGAUUUACUGGGCGUAAAGAGCGCGCAGGCGGUCGUUCAAGUCGCGUGUGAAAGCCCCCGGCUCAACUGGGGAGGGUCACGCGAUACUGAUCGACUGGAAGGCAGGAGAGGGUAGUGGAAUUCCCGGUGUAGUGGUGAAAUGCGCAGAUAUCAGGAGGAACACCGGUGGCGAAGGCGGGUCUCUGGGCCGAUAUUGACGCUGAGGAGCGAAAGCGUGGGGAGCAAACAGG
rnacentral:rRNA from 1 species